ACGGGAGGCAGCAGUGGGGAAUAUUGCACAAUGGGCGAAAGCCUGAUGCAGCAACGCCGCGUGAGUGAUGACGGCCUUCGGGUUGUAAAACUCUGUCUUCAGGGACGAUAAUGACGGUACCUGAGGAGGAAGCCACGGCUAACUACGUGCCAGCAGCCGCGGUAAUACGUAGGUGGCAAGCGUUGUCCGGAUUUACUGGGCGUAAAGGGAGCGUAGGCGGAUGUUUAAGUGGGAUGUGAAAUACUCGGGCUCAACUUGAGUGCUGCAUUCCAAACUGGAUAUCUAGAGUGCAGGAGAGGAAAGGAGAAUUCCUAGUGUAGCGGUGAAAUGCGUAGAGAUUAGGAAGAAUACCAGUGGCGAAGGCGCCUUUCUGGACUGUAACUGACGCUGAGGCUCGAAAGCGUGGGGAGCAAACAGGAUUAGAUACCCUGGUA
rnacentral:rRNA from 1 species